rnacentral:rRNA from 1 species
UACGGAGGAUCCAAGCGUUAUCCGGAUUUAUUGGGUUUAAAGGGUGCGUAGGCGGAUUAUUAAGUCAGUGUUGAAAGACUAAAGCUCAACUUUAGAAGUGGCAUUGAUACUGGUAGUCUUGAGUACAGAUGAAGUGGGCGGUAUGUGUCAUGUAGCGGUGAAAUGCAUAGAUAUGACACAGAACACCGAUUGCGAAGGCAGCUCACUAAGUUGUAACUGACGCUGAGGCACGAAAGCGUGGGGAUCAAACAGGAUUAGAUACCCUGGUAGUCCACGCUGUAAACGAUGAUUACUCGAUGUUUGCAGGCAUAUGUAAGCGUCUAGGCGAAAGCAAUAAGUAAUCCACCUGGGGAGUACGCUCGCAAGAGUGAA